ensembl:lncRNA
GACUGUUGGACUGAGAGUAAGUCUAGAUGAAAACUGACAGAUGAAUGCACCAUCAGACACUGUCUCAUGAACGACUUCAUCUAGAUACUUAUUGCCGUGAAGUUUGACUCACAUCUUGGAAACAUUCCAACUUGAAACACUGGGAGUGGUGCUUCUCUGACUCCCUGCGCACCCAGAGAGGAGGUCCCAGUUCUGUGGAGAUCUGGACUCAGGAGGUCUGGGCUGGGGUCCUUUCUCACAAACGAGCUGGUCACACUGAUGCUGCUCAGCUGUGGGUCACGUUUGCAGGAGCAAAGGUCUGGAAUGUUUCCCACUCUGGGCUCCUGAUUAGCUCAGAUCCAUUUCUACCAAGACAAUGAAAUCAUUCACGAAAAAAAAAAGUGUAAUUGUUUGGGAUAAGAUUUGAAUUUAUUAAGUUUGGGUGUUAAUAUGACUUAAAAAUAAUUCUACCAAGAUUCACAUAUGAUUGUCAGGGUCCUUCCCUUCCAAACAACGACCAACGAUUUUUCCAACAUGUAAACUCUGCUUUUAGAAUUGUCCACAGGAACUCGAAGAUGAGGAUAUGCUUGCUCAUUCAUUUAUGUUCCGAUUCAACAAUAAUAAAGAAGUGCCUAAAACAUCCUCAGCACUGCAGUGAUGACUGUGGGAAGGCUGACACCCUUAAGUGUGCAGGGAGGCCAAGAGGACACAGUUGCAAGCAAUUGUUUGAACAUAAUACACAAAAACGUGUGUGCUUUGAGUGUAUCUUUUCUUAAAUCAAAUGAGAGCCACCUAGGCUUAAAUUUGGUGUCACGUCUGAAAAUGCAGUUUCUAAUAAAAAAUGUAUGUCUAUCAAGUAAUGAAACUUAUUUUUCUUGAAUAUCUUUUAACUGAAUCAGCAUGAACUUAGAGCUAUGUUAGGAAUGGCAUUUAUGGAAUAUGUUCAUAGUGCCCCAAAAUAUCUUCUUUAAAGAAAUCUAUCCAUGAGUAGCAGUAUAAUUAUGGUUGAAUUAACUCCAUUACUUCUUACUUAGAUGUAUUUACCUAACAACCUAUGGAUUUGGAUGUAUGCAUGUCUGCAUACACACAUAUGUCUUAUAACAAAUUUAAUAAUACUUAACUGUUCAUCGAGUAUAGUGCUG